GAUUGAUUCAGAUGAGGUGUUUUCCUUUUACGGGAGACUCGAUCUUGGAGGAAGUUCAAUCUAUCUGAAUUUUUUUCCAAUUUAAGAGAAGGAGAGACGGAUCUGUAGAUGGAGAAUAUAGCUUGGUUGUGGAUGAGCUAUGGUAGAUCGUCCAUAGUCAAGGUCAUGGAGACUAUCGAAUGCAUGUUGGUCUCAGAUAAUUUAGAAUAGGUCGAUCGAGAAUGAUCUAAAAUAGAUUGUCCAAGCCUGAGGGAUAGAGAACCUCCGUUGAUAGGGUAUAUCUGGCGAUCUUCAUCUUUGUCGUAUAUGCGUAUAUUUGAUGGGCAUCCAUCUUCUAUAGCUUGAUCGGAGCCGAGGAUGUUGUAGUUGAGGCCAAGGUACAGAUCCAGAAACAAGAAUAGUCCAAUCUAUUUAAAAUUUAAUCUCUACUAUUUUUUAUAGAUUUAAAUUUUUAUUUCGAUUUUCAUUCCGAUUCUGUUCAUGAAUCAAAUAUUUUAUAAGAUUUGAUCAUUCUGAUUCUUAUUCCAAUCUAUUUCGAUUUG
rnacentral:lncRNA from 1 species